GUACUAGGUAAGCGUGUUAACAGGGGUGACGCAGGAAGGUAGCCCGGCGUGGCGAUGGUUGACCACGUCCAAGGCCGUAGCCCGCCUCGUAGGCAAAUCCGCGAGGCACGAGGGUGAGAGUCGACAGAUACCGCGUAUGCGGGAAUCGGGUGAUCCUCAGCUGCCAAGAAAAGCCUCGACGCGAGGUUCUAGCCGCCCGUACCCCAAACCGACUCAGGUGGUCAGGUAGAGAAUACUAAGGCGAUCGAGAGAAUCGUGGUUAAGGAACUCGGCAAAAUGCCCCCGUAACUUCGGGAGAAGGGGGGCCUGAUCCGUGAACCCACUUGCUGGGGGAAGCGGUGAGGGCCGCAGAGACCAGGGAGAAGCGACUGUUUACUAAAAACACAGGUCCGUGCGAAGUCGCAAGACGAUGUAUACGGACUGACGCCUGCCCGGUGCUGGAAGGUUAAGAGGACGGGUCAGCUUCGGCGAAGCCCAGAAUUUAAGCCCCAGUAAACGGCGGUGGUAACUAUAACCAUCCUAAGGUAGCGAAAUUCCUUGUCGGGUAAGUUCCGACCUGCACGAAUGGCGUAACGACUUCUCCGCUGUCUCGACCACGAACUCGGCGAAAUUGCACUACGAGUAAAGAUGCUCGUUACGCGCAGCAGGACGGAAAGACCCCGGGACCUUUACUACAGCUUGGUAUUGGUGUUCGGUGCGGUUUGUGUAGGAUAGGUGGGAGACUACGAAACCGGCGCGCCAGCGCCGGUGGAGUCGCCGUUGAAAUACCACUCUGACCGCAUCGACCAUCUAACCUCGGUCCGUGAUCCGGACCAGGGACAGUGCCUGGUGGGUAGUUUAACUGGGGCGGUUGCCUCCCAAAAAGUAACGGAGGCGCUCAAAGGUUCCCUCAGCCUGGUUGGCAAUCAGGUGUCGAGUGCAAGUGCACAAGGGAGCUUGACUGUGAGACCGACAGGUCGAGCAGGGACGAAAGUCGGAACUAGUGAUCCGGCGGUGGCUCGUGGAAGCGCCGUCGCUCAACGGAUAAAAGGUACCCCGGGGAUAACAGGCUGAUCUUCCCCAAGAGUCCAUAUCGACGGGAUGGUUUGGCACCUCGAUGUCGGCUCGUCGCAUCCUGGGGCUGGAGUAGGUCCCAAGGGUUGGGCUGUUCGCCCAUUAAAGCGGCACGCGAGCUGGGUUUAGAACGUCGUGAGACAGUUCGGUCCCUAUCCGCUGCGCGCGCAGGAAACUUGAGAAGGGCUGUCCCUAGUACGAGAGGACCGGGACGGACGAACCUCUGGUAUGCCAGUUGUUCCGCCAGGAGCACCGCUGGUUCGCUACGUUCGGGAGGGAUAACCGCUGAAAGCAUCUAAGCGGGAAGCCUGCUUCAAGAUGAGGUUUCCAACAGGCCAGUCCUGUGAAGGCACCCAGCUAGACCACUGGGUAGAUAGGCCGGAAGUGGAAGACAGGACCAACGACUGUCGCAGCUGACCGGUACUAAUCAGCCGACAACUUCCAUACA
rnacentral:rRNA from 1 species